UAGCUCAGUUGGUAGAGCAUGGUGUUUGCGAUGCGUUUGCAACGCCAGGGUUGUGGGUUCGAUUCCCAC
rnacentral:tRNA from 1 species